AGUGAACGCUGGCGGUAGGCCUAACACAUGCAAGUCGAACGGCAGCACAGUAAGAGCUUGCUCUUACGGGUGGCGAGUGGCGGAUGGGUGAGGAAUACAUCGGCCUCUACUUUUUCGUGGGGGAUAACGUAGGGAAACUUACGCUAAUACCGCAUACCACCUACGGGUGAAAGCAGGGGAGCUUCGGACCUUGCGCGAUUGAAUGAGCCGAUGUCGGAUUAGCUAGUUGGCGGGGUAAAGGCCCACCAAGGCGACGAUCCGUAGCUGGUCUGAGAGGAUGAUCAGCGACACUGGAACUGAGACACGGUCCAGACUCCUACGGGAGGCAGCAGUGGGGAAUAUUGGACAAUGGGCGCAAGCAUGGUCCAGCCAUACCGCGUGGGUGAAGAAGGCCUUCGGGUUGUAAAGCCCUUUUGUUGGGAAAGAAAAGCAGCAGGUUAAUACCCCGCUGUUCUGACGGUACCCAAAGAAUAAGCACCGGCUAACUUCGUG
rnacentral:rRNA from 1 species